GGGGUGGUGGGGCGAGAGCAUGAGGAAGUACCAGCAAGAGGAGCAGGAAGGUGGCAGAGAUCUAACUUCGAAGUUCCAGAAGGAAAAAGAAGGAAUGAAGAAGAAAAUGUCUUUCUCACACUAGCCAGAAGCAGAGUUUUAAAAGCAAUCUCCACUCUCCUUUGAGGCAAUGGGCCUCGAUCUCCUUGAGUGUGGCUCUGACCCCCUCAGUUCUGAGAACCAGAGAAAAACAGCCAAGGAGCAGCCCUCCUUUACAGCCUGGUGGGAGAAUCUAGAGGGACCCUGGUCCUUCUUCAGAAGUGGUCUCAUCAUAAUCAACCUUCUCCCCACAGCUUCUGGGACAUCGCCAGGCCAUAAAGUCAAAGCUACAUAAAAGACCCAAGAAGUCUCUUGCCUUCUCAGAGUACCAUAGUCGGUGAAUUUAAGAAUGGUCCUAGUACCUAGAAGGACAUUUGCAUCUCCCUUCCUGAACCCCACAAGAGCAGGCUCGGCAAAGGCUAAAGAGAUGAUGUCUUCAAAUGUAUGAGCAAGUUUUA